rnacentral:lncRNA from 1 species
GCCAAAGCCUGUUCCCGGGUUGGUAGGCUGAGUGAGGUGUGUGGAGGAAGUCAGGAAGAGCUGAGUCUGGGCUUAUUUGUAGCCUGGCUACCACGUUAUUAGCUAAAGUCUCCAGGAGUAACACAUGGCCACUAGCUUUUCACAGGCAACUUUACGAGGAUUUAGCAAUCAAAUGGCUUCAGGUAAGGAAGAUGGCUUAGCAAGCCAAGGUGCUUGCCACCAAGGCUGAUGGCCGGAGUUCAGUCCCUGCAACCCACAAGACAGGGUAUCUCUGUGUAGCUCUAGCUGUCCUGGAACUCACUCUGUAGACCAAGCUGGCCUCAAACUCACAGAGAUCCACUGGCCUCUUCAUCUCAAGUGCUGGGAUUAAAGGUUUUGAACCUUUCAUUGUUGGCUGCUUAGAAGACUCCCUCACUUACAUGAGUUCUCAAGUUUUGGAAAAUCAAGUUUCAUUUUGAACACAUGGAAUUUUGGCACCUUCUUUCUCUACAAAUGUGAUUGGUAGGCAAUCACCAUCUACAAGUCUGUCUUUUUGUACAGUUAAAACCUGUGAGCCCUCUUGUAAAUUUUUGUCA